AUAUAUAUAUAUAUAUUUUUCUCUUUUGUUAAGCCUUUUGCUAAUUUGUUUUGCCUCCUUGUCGUCCCACCCUUUCAUUUUCUCUCUUCUUCCUUAGUUUUUCUCUCAUUUCUUCUUCACUGUGUCGCCUUAACCCUAAUUAUUUUGCAACCUUGUACCAUCCAUUCUUUUUUUCUAUACCAUUGUUGUUGUCACCCCUCUGCUGCCAUUUUUUUCUUCUCCAUUAUCGCUGUCCUAGUGAUCAAACACCACCUUUGUCGUUGCCAUCCCUUUGCUUCUUUUCUUCUACUCUCUUUGUUAUUCUAUUAUCGUAGAUCUAAGUCGAAAACUUUUAGGGCUGUGUGCAUCUUUCGUUUGAUCGAUAGAGGAGUAAGUGAUCACGGAAACUCAGUUCUGAAAUUUUAGUUUGUUUCUUGAUUUGGCUGAACCCUAUAUGGGUGUUGAAGGUUAGUUAUAACCGUGUUUUGUGUGUGUUAUGUAUAGAUCUGAUCAAGAUCUAUCUAGAUCUAAACGUAGGAGCUGCAGGAUAGAUAGUGCUUCGGUUUCACGUUAAUCAGAUGUUGAUCUUACCUUUGGGUGUUUUGGUAAUUAUUGAAUUAUGUGAUAUGCAUGUUGGUCAAUUGUACAUAUUGAUUUUAUGCAUGGCCAAAUGGCUUUGUGUUGGAUAAGAGAUUGUUGAUUAUGGUAAGUGUUAAAAGGUGACGGCCGAAUGUUUAAGAAUAUUUGUUUUUGAUUAAUUGGAUGUGUAAGUGCCGAAUGUAUUUUUUGAUUGUACGUUUAUUGGUAUGUAUGAUGAGUUACAGUUGAUUGAUUGCAUGAAAACAAACAUGUCAUUGAUUCUUACUAUAUUUAUCUAUUGUAUGUAAAGCAUACCACUGAUAUUGUUUCACUGAAUGCAUGUAUAGCAUGCCACCAUACUGAAAUUGUUACUGAUAGUGCAUGAUGUGCUACAUUGUUACAUGUCAUAUUGCAUUGCAUGGGUUUUGGGAUUUGAUGGGUGGCAAAGAAGUUCCAUGUAGUACCAAAGGAUUAUCUGCAUUAUUAUUUUAGCUGAAUAUAUGUACCCCAGAGUAUUUUUGGAGUACUGGCGACUUAUUGCAACUUACUGGCAGUUUGUCUACAACUAUUGACAGUUUAAUUGCAUAUUGAUAUUGGUGGUUUAUCCACAUCGAGCUUCGGCUCUUAUUGCUUUUGGUCUUUGAAUGACAAGCUUUGGAAAAAUCAUGGUGUGUAGUGGAUGGAUGGGUAGGACCUUUGCACUGAUUUGCAUUUGAACAUUCCCAUACAUAUUCACUAUUUAUUGAAUUGCUAAGAUCUAUUAGGAACAUUGAUAUUAAUGGCUAUGUAUUGUACUGUGAUUGUUUGAAUGUUUGUAUUAUUAUUGUUUGUUUUGUUAAGACUCACACUAAGAUUUUCAAGCUCACCCCUUUAGUUUACUUCUUACAGAUAACCUUCAAUGUUAGCAUUGGACUUGGCAUACGAAGGUCUCGUCUGAAAUUUUUAGUUAAUAAAAUAUUUUUAUUUUACUUUAUUUAUUUCGGUUUUUUUGGGACUGUAAAUUUUGUUAAUAUGGAUUGUGGCAUGGGUUGUUUUUAUUUGGUUUUUGCAUGUAUGAAAUUUUGGAUAAAAAUCGAGAAAAUUUAAUAA